rnacentral:lncRNA from 1 species
UUGGUCAUUAUGCAAACUAACAACACCAAGAGUAUCACAAAAUGAAGAUUCAUAAACUUCUUCACUAAGACAAUCCAAAACUACACCACUUUGGCCACUACUAGCCACUUCACAAUAAUUCAAGUUUCUAGGAGUGUAGGAGAGAGCUUUGUUACCUUGUAGAUCAUGGGAAGUGUUUUAUUCACUUGGUUUCACAUCAUGGCAGCCCUCAUGCCCCACAUUAAAAGGGAAUAGGUCAAGGUUUUCCUUUGGAUUCACUUCUUCAUCGCUUGUUCCCAAAUAGGGACUUUCGGCCAAGGGCUUGAAGGGAACUUCCUUGGGCUUCUCCUUGGGACAUCUAGGGUAUUGAAACUACACAUGAGAAGGUAAAAUACUAGGCAAAAUGCUAGUAUUU